AUUUAUAGGAUAGCAAUUAAAUUAAUUA
rnacentral:rRNA from 1 species